CACAAUUGCAACCAACAAGUUCACACUUCAAGGGGUUCAUCGGGCAGGCUCAUAAUUCGGUAGUGUCAUCAACUUCAAGAAGGACCUGAUCUCCAGAAAUGGAAAGGAGAAUUCGAUUUCUUUUGGAACAACCUUCUAAAUGUUCUUUUCUAUAUAGAAAAAUCGAUUACAACUAACAAAUACUUGAAUAGGGAGUGAAAAUUGGGCUUCCUCUGGCCCAUAUUUUAUUUGUGUCUGUCAGGCCCACGUGGUAAGUAAGAUUGUUAGCCGAAAGUGAUGCAACGAUCACACGACCACGUCCACCAUAAAUGUUGGUAUUAUAAGUUGGACUAUAACCUUGUCCGGCUGUCCACGAGCUUUUCGUCAUAUUAUUGCCAAAUGGAAGCUCUCCCAAGAGACCCCUCGCAAGCCAUGUAAAAUAUCUAAAACUCGAAAGAUAGUUUUCAUGUUAUUCAACAAUUGGCAGUUCACAAUCUUUUAUUCUAUUUGA